rnacentral:rRNA from 1 species
GCUUAACACAUGCAAGUCGAGGGGCAGCAUGAACUUAGCUUGCUAAGUUUGAUGGCGACCGGCGCACGGGUGAGUAACACGUAUCCAACCCGCCGAUGACUCGGGGAUAGCCUUUCGAAAGAAAGAUUAAUACCCGAUGGCAUAGUUCUUCCGCAUGGUAGAACUAUUAAAGAAUUUCGGUCAUCGAUGGGGAUGCGUUCCAUUAGGUUGUUGGCGGGGUAACGGCCCACCAAGCCUUCGAUGGAUAGGGGUUCUGAGAGGAAGGUCCCCCACAUUGGAACUGAGACACGGUCCAAACUCCUACGGGAGGCAGCAGUGAGGAAUAUUGGUCAAUGGACGAGAGUCUGAACCAGCCAAGUAGCGUGAAGGAUGACUGCCCUAUGGGUUGUAAACUUCUUUUAUACGGGAAUAAAGUGAGGCACGUGUGCCUUUUUGUAUGUACCGUAUGAAUAAGGAUCGGCUAACUCCGUGCCAGCAGCCGCGGUAAUACGGAGGAUCCGAGCGUUAUCCGGAUUUAUUGGGUUUAAAGGGAGCGUAGGUGGACAGUUAAGUCAGUUGUGAAAGUUUGCGGCUCAACCGUAAAAUUGCAGUUGAUACUGGCUGUCUUGAGUACAGUAGAGGUGGGCGGAAUUCGUGGUGUAGCGGUGAAAUGCUUAGAUAUCACGAAGAACUCCGAUUGCGAAGGCAGCUCACUGGACUGCAACUGACACUGAGGCUCGAAAGUGUGGGUAUCAAACAGGAUUAGAUACCCUGGUAGUCCACACGGUAAACGAUGAAUACUCGCUGUUUGCGAUAUACUGCAAGCGGCCAAGCGAAAGCGUUAAGUAUUCCACCUGGGGAGUACGCCGGCAACGGUGAAACUCAAAGGAAUUGACGGGGGCCCGCACAAGCGGAGGAACAUGUGGUUUAAUUCGAUGAUACGCGAGGAACCUUACCCGGGCUUAAAUUGCAGAUGAAUUACGGUGAAAGCCGUAAGCCGCAAGGCAUCUGUGAAGGUGCUGCAUGGUUGUCGUCAGCUCGUGCCGUGAGGUGUCGGCUUAAGUGCCAUAACGAGCGCAACCCUUGUUGUCAGUUACUAACAGGUUCCGCUGAGGACUCUGACAAGACUGCCAUCGUAAGAUGUGAGGAAGGUGGGGAUGACGUCAAAUCAGCACGGCCCUUACGUCCGGGGCUACACACGUGUUACAAUGGGGGGUACAGAGGGCCGCUACCACGCGAGUGGAUGCCAAUCCCCAAAACCUCUCUCAGUUCGGACUGGAGUCUGCAACCCGACUCCACGAAGCUGGAUUCGCUAGUAAUCGCGCAUCAGCCACGGCGCGGUGAAUACGUUCCCGGGCCUUGUACACACCGCCCGUCAAGCCAUGGGAGCCGGGGGUACCUGAAGUGCGUAACCGCGAGGAGCGCCCUAGGGUAAAACUGGUGACUGGGGCU